rnacentral:rRNA from 1 species
AGCGAACGCUGGCGGCAGGCUUAACACAUGCAAGUCGAACGGGCAUAGCAAUAUGUCCGUGGCAGACGGGUGAGUAACGCGUGGGAACGUACCUUUUGGUUCGGAACAACACAGGGAAACUUGUGCUAAUACCGGAUAAGCCCUUACGGGGAAAGAUUUAUCGCCGAAAGAUCGGCCCGCGUCUGAUUCGCUAGUUGGUAGGGUAAUGGCCUACCAAGGCGACGAUCAGUAGCUGGUCUGAGAGGAUGAUCAGCCACAUUGGGACUGAGACACGGCCCAAACUCCUACGGGAGGCAGCAGUGGGGAAUAUUGGGCAAUGGGCGAAAGCAUGAUCCAGCCAUGCCGCGUGAGUGAUGAAGGACCUAGGGUUGUAAAGCUCUUUUGUGCGGGAAGAUAAUGACGGUACCGAAAGAAUAAGCCCCGGCUAACUUCGUG